AAAAUAAUUGUUAGAAUUAAAUUACACAUAAUUAAGAUAAAAUAACUAAAAUUGUAAUAAAACUAAAUAUAUCAUGAAAAUUAUUUCACGAAACAUUAAAAAGAAGUAUUAAGAAGAGAUGAGGAGAAGAAUUUGGGGAUAAAAAAGCAAAAAACAAAAACACAAGGAGUAAGAAUUACAUAAAAUGGAGCUAAAAAUAAGAUUCAGCACACCUAAUUUAGAGGGAGAGUCCCCUAUUUAUAGAUACAAUUGAUGAUUCAUGGCCAUUAGAUGAAAACAUUUCGGACGCACAUGAUUAUGCCACGUGGCGCUCUCAGAUUGGUUGAAACAAGUCAUCAGGGUUGUCAUUCUGUGUUUGUGCAUGUAUGGUACGCACACUUUUGGCCCACUGAUACGCUGUUAUGUCACCAGUCAAAUGCAAGGUCAACAAGCUUACUUCAGUGUAUACGCAUGUACCGUAUGUGAGUUCUUCGAUCCAAUAAUAUGCCACCAUGUAACUAAGUUCCACCAAAUCAGCAUACAUCCUGCCACAAUAGAUCUUGACCUUUUUAAAUCUUGUUUUAUAUAAUUCAAGUCCAUUUUAAUCUUGGUUUCUGUCGUUCCGUAGGCUUUCGGGGCCUUUGAAUCCAUUUAUGAUGUUGGUGCCGCCAUCCAGGACCUCAACAUGAAUAAAAUUAUGGUUUUACCUUUGUGCCUUUCCGAAGGCUUUUAAUUAUUCCGAGCUAAAAAAUAUUGUCUGUUUUGCCGUAUGAUUUCUUGAUAAUCUAAAAUGACCAAAAUAUCUUUGAAAUACAUAAAAUACUAGUUAUAAUAAAAUACACACAAUCAAAGUUUAAGAGACUUAAAUACAUAAAAGUAGAGAUGUUAGUGAGAUAUGGAGUGUAAAAUGAUAAUUUUACACUUUGUAAGUAUACACUCUUUAGCACUCAUCACACUCCCAACCAGGUUAUUACUAGUCCGUAGCAAAUUAAGUGAUAAUAUCUAGCAAAAUUCAAAACCAAAUUGAAUUUUUAUUUUUUAGAAAAAUUGUGUUUACUUCUUUGAUUAGAUUAAUGACAACAAUCAAAUAAAAGUAUAAGCAUUAUCUUCAGUCUAAAAAAUAUUACUCCCACAUCAACCAUUCACAAAAAUCAGUCAAGUAAACUCAUGCAAAAUGAUCAAUUACCAAAGCUACAUUAAUUAAGCUAUUUUCUAGAAUAAGAUGUCAAACUCUAAAAUCUCACGAGUGAGAAUGAUGCUCUAAAAAAAACAAAUAAAAGCAAUCACUCCAAGGAAUGGUAGAUUGAGAGAAAAAUAAUUUCACACACUCUCACUAAGAUGAAAGAAUAAUGUCUACAACUUAGAAAAAUAUGAUCUCAAGUCAAACGAAUUGCUAGUCAAACCAAUAGCAUUAUUUAUAUUUAUAUUUAUGCAUCACCACAUCUUUUAGUCUAUAUUAAUAGUUUCUACUUCAGAGUAUAGUUUCCUAAAAUUAAGAAUUACUUUUACUAAGAUUUAAUAUAGGCUAGAGACAUGGCUAAUAAAUAAGG
rnacentral:lncRNA from 1 species